rnacentral:sRNA from 1 species
GUGAGUUUGGAGGGUGCCGGUCAACGAAGCCCCGCGAGGUAAUUUGAAGGCAAUCGCAGCCCGGACCGUUCCCCCUAGAUUCAUCGAAGCCGGGACAUUUCCUUUGGCCGUGGCAAUCAUGUGAUUCAUUUGGGAAGGAAGACGAUGAUCAUUAAGAAGCCACAUGGAUCCGAUGAAGGCAGUGACCACUGAGAGGUCAGCUCCAUUGUGGAAAAUUGGAGCUAUUCAGCCUUGUAGAAAACAGGAGGGAGAAGGAACUCAGUGAAUAUUAUCCUGGCUCCCAAUAAUUCUGCCCACUGAUGACAACUGCCCCUUCUGCUCAAAUUUCCUGAGUCAACAUGGCCACUCCUAACUUGGACACGACUGUAGACAUUCUGUGUUACAAUGAGCCUAGAAGAAAAAAGAGACAUGAAAUAGCGAGAGGAAAUGAAAACUAUUUAUUUAACUGAACCAGCCAUCCCCCUGCAGAUUACAGCGACUGUGCUCAGGACUGUAGGACGGAUACAACCCAGCAGAAUAACUGCCAUGGAAGAAGGAUGCCCCUCCUGCCAAUUGGCACUUAUCAAUGACAUCGAGGGAGAGGGACAGAGUGCCUAGGUAUGAGCCUUCAUCAAGUGUUAUGAAGGCUCUACUCCAACAGAAAGUGCUCAUGUGAAGAAAUGAUGCUUUUGACAAGACUUUCCUCUGAUCUGGUGCUAUCCAGGGGUUGGCAAACAGGCUCCCUGGGCCUCAUUCCUGUUGGGUAUUCUUGUGAAUAAAGUUCUAUCAGACACAGA